rnacentral:rRNA from 1 species
AGACCCGAAACCCGGUGAUCUAGCCAUGGGCAGGUUGAAGGUUGGGUAACACUAACUGGAGGACCGAACCGACUAAUGUUGAAAAAUUAGCGGAUGACCUGUGGCUGGGGGUGAAAGGCCAAUCAAACCGGGAGAUAGCUGGUUCUCCCCGAAAGCUAUUUAGGUAGCGCCUCGUGAACUCAUCUCCGGGGGUAGAGCACUGUUUCGGCUAGGGGGCCAUCCCGGCUUACCAACCCGAUGCAAACUGCGAAUACCGGAGAAUGUUAUCACGGGAGACACACGGCGGGUGCUAACGUCCGUCGUGAAGAGGGAAACAACCCAGACCGCCAGCUAAGGUCCCAAAGUCAUGGUUAAGUGGGAAACGAUGUGGGAAGGCCCAGACAGCCAGGAUGUUGGCUUAGAAGCAGCCAUCAUUUAAAGAAAGCGUAAUAGCUCACUGGUCGAGUCGGCCUGCGCGGAAGAUGUAACGGGGCUAAACCAUGCACCGAAGCUGCGGCAGCGACGCUGAUGCGUUGUUG